GAAAUGCGAUAAGUAAUGUGAAUUGCAGAAUUCAGUGAAUCAUCGAAUCUUUGAACGCACAUUGCGCCCGCUAGUAUUCUGGCGGGCAUGCCUGUCCGAGCGUCAUUUCAACCCUCAGGCCCUGGUUGCCUGGUGUUGGGGCGCCGCGUCCCCCAGCGGGCGCGGGCCCCGAAAGUCAGUGGCGGGCUCGCCAGGACUCCGAGCGCAGUAAUUUACACCUCGCUGCGGAGGACCUGGCGGGACACCCGGCCGUAAAACACCCCAAACUUCUAAGGUUGACCUCGGAUCAGGUAGGAAUACCCGCUGAACUUAA
rnacentral:misc_RNA from 1 species